GGGUCCCCGGUGGGAGCUGGACGGCGGGGCGUUCCCGCCGGCCUUGCGCAGGGCCUUGCCCGCAGAAUGUGGGGACUCCCGGAAUUCGCCAGCGGGUUGGUGGAAAACGGUAUCGGUCUGGUCCUCGAGUGCAUUUCUGCCUCUGAUGUGUGCUCCCGUUUCUGACGCGGCGGACGUUUAACCCCAAAGCGUGUGUGGUGAUGUGGAGAACCGCGUGGGGGCCCGCGUCUGGCGUCCAGCAGAGGCGGGUGUCAUCAGCUCUCGGGUGAGAUCAAGUCCAAGGCCCAGACGAACGAACCCACCCGGGGAGGCGGUGCAGCAGGAACUUUGGCCAGCAGGCUCUGCCCUGCUCACACCUCUUUCUGCCGCCUGGAUCUGCCUGAGCCUGUGGCCAAGCUGAGCCCCUGUGGGCUGGCUCUCACUGCCCCUGCAGGAAAAGCCCCCGAUUCUCUGUUUGAAGGCUGGGGCCAUUUCCUGAUCUUUGAACAUGCCCAUCCCUGCACCGCAGUCAAGGUACAGAAUUAUUCCAUCAUCGCAAAGAUCUCCCUCAUGCUACCUCUUUAAGAUCAAACUCACCACCUCUCCCCACUUGCCCGCCAUUGCUCCUAACCCCUGGAAACCACCAUUUUGUUUUUCUUCUAUGUAACUUUGUCAUUUCUAGAAUACUGCAUAAAAAGAAUAAUAAAGUAUGUGACCUUUGAA